CCUACGGGGAGCAGCAGUGAGGAAUAUUGGUCAAUGGGCGCGAGCCUGAACCAGCCAAGUCGCGUGAGGGAAGACGGUCCUAUGGAUUGUAAACCUCUUUUGUCGGGGAGCAAAAGACGCCACGCGUGGCGUUCCGAGAGUACCCGACGAAAAAGCAUCGGCUAACUCCGUGCCAGCAGCCGCGGUAAUACGGAGGAUGCGAGCGUUAUCCGGAUUUAUUGGGUUUAAAGGGUGCGCAGGCGGAAGAGCAAGUCAGCGGUAAAAUUGAGAGGCUCAACCUCUUCGAGCCGUUGAAACUGGUGUUCUUGAGUGAGCGAGAAGUAUGCGGAAUGCGUGGUGUAGCGGUGAAAUGCAUAGAUAUCACGCAGAACUCCGAUUGCGAAGGCAGCAUACCGGCGCUCAACUGACGCUCAUGCACGAAAGUGUGGGUAUCGAACAGGAUUAGAUACCCGUGUAGUC
rnacentral:rRNA from 1 species